rnacentral:sRNA from 1 species
GAGGGACAGCUGUGAGGGAGGAGGGAAGCACGUGGCCCUCCCUGGAGCUCCACAGGCCCUGAAGGCUUCCCGGGCCUGGGGUCAGGGCUGCUCCUCACCCUCAGCCACACACUGAGUCCCAUAUGCUCAGUCCUGGGUGGGGCCCUUGUCACUCUGGUCCCAGCUCCCUUCAACCUGCCCACAGGCGCAGCAGCUGGAAUGGGUGAAGAGCCGCUACCCUGGCCUGUACUCCCGCAUUCAGGAGUUUGCGUGCCGUGGGCAGUUUGUGCCUGUGGGGGGCACCUGGGUGGAGAUGGAUGGGAACCUGCCCAGUGGAGAGGCCAUGGUGAGGCAGUUUUUGCAGGGCCAGAACUUCUUUCUGCAGGAGUUUGGGAAGAUGUGCUCCGAGUUCUGGCUGCCGGACACCUUUGGCUACUCAGCACAGCUCCCCCAGAUCAUGCACGGCUGUGGCAUCAGGCGCUUUCUCACCCAGAAAUUGAGCUGGAAUUUGGUGAACUCCUUCCCACACCAUACAUUUUUCUGGGAGGGCCUGGAUGGCUCCCGUGUACUGGUCCACUUCCCACCUGGCGACUCCUAUGGGAUGCAGGGCAG